CUGAUAUGGUGGUGCAGGUAGGGACUCAGGACAGUACAGUAUGUCUGAUAUGGUGGUGCAGGUAGGGACUCAGGACAGUACAGUAUGUCUGAUAUGGUGGUGCAGGUAGGGACUCAGGACAGUACAGUACGUCUGAUAUGGUGGUGCAGGUAGGGACUCAGGACAGUACAGUAUGUCUGAUAUGGUGGUGCAGGUAGGGACUCAGGACAGUACAGUAUGUCUGAUAUGGUGGUGCAGGUAGGGACUCAGGACAGUACAGUACGUCUGAUAUGGUGGUGCAGGUAGGGACUCAGGACAGUACAGUACGUCUGAUAUGGUGGUGCAGGUAGGGACUCAGGACAGUACAGUACGUCUGAUAUGGUGGUGCAGGUAGGGACUCAGGACAGUACAGUACGUCUGAUAUGGUGGUGCAGGUAGGGACUCAGGACAGUACAGUACGUCUGAUAUGGUGGUGCAGGUAGGGACUCAGGACAGUACAGUAUGUCUGAUAUGGUGGUGCAGGUAGGGACUCAGGACAGUACAGUACGUCUGAUAUGGUGGUGCAGGUAGGGACUCAGGACAGUACAGUAUGUCUGAUAUGGUGGUGCAGGUAGGGACUCAGGACAGUACAGUAUGUCUGAUAUGGUGGUGCAGGUAGAGACUCAGGACAGUAC